rnacentral:rRNA from 1 species
AACGAACGCUGGCGGCAUGCCUAACACAUGCAAGUCGAACGAGACCUUCGGGUCUAGUGGCGCACGGGUGCGUAACGCGUGGGAACCUGCCCUUAGGUUCGGAAUAACUCCCCGAAAGGGGUGCUAAUACCGGAUAAUGUCUUCGGACCAAAGAUUUAUCGCCUUUGGAUGGUCCCGCGUUGGAUGAGCUAGUUGGUAGGGUAAAAGCCUACCAAGGCGACGAUCCAUAGCUGGUCUGAGAGGAUGAUCAGCCACACUGGGACUGAGACACGGCCCAGACUCCUACGGGAGGCAGCAGUGGGGAAUAUUGGACAAUGGGCGAAAGCAUGAUCCAGCAAUGCCGCGUGAGUGAUGAAGGCCUUAGGGUUGUAAAGCUCUUUUACCCGGGAUGAUAAUGACAGUACCGGGAGAAUAAGCUCCGGCUAACUCCGUG